UGUCUUCUCGCGAAGGUCAGAUUGGGUACCUGGAGGGGGGAGCGGUAUUCCAGCUCUAAUAGCGUAUAUUAAAGUUGCUGCAGUUAAAAAGCUCGUAGUUGGAUUUCAAGGACUGUAAACCUUUCGGGGAAUACAUCCUACUAGUCUUCGGACUGUUACUGUGAGAAAAUUAGAGUGUUUCAAGCAGGCUUUCGCAAGAAUACAUUAGCAUGGAAUAACGAAUGUAUUUAGAAUCUUGGUUAAUUCUAAAUUACGGUUAAUAGAGACAGCAAGGGGGCAAUAGUAUUUAAUUGUCACAUGUGAAAUUCUUGGAUUUGUUGAGGACUACCGUAUGCGAAAGCAUUUGCCAAGGAUGUUUUCAUUAAUCAAGGACGAAAGAUAGGGGAUCAUAUACUAUCAGAUACUGUCGUAGUCCUAUCUAUAAACUAUGCCGACUAGGGAUUGGAGUGGGCAUACACCAUUUCAGUACCUUAUGAGAAUCAAAGUCUUUGGGUUCUGGGGGAGUAUGUCGCAGACUGAACUUAAGAAUGACGAGCACACAGGAUGAGCUGCGCUAUUGACCACCGGGACUACAGUCAACAGAGAUGAGAUGAGCUUCUGAUCUGUGGCUGCUUAUUGGAGAUGCUGUAUCGAACAGACACGCAAUCGUCAAUUUAGCUAACUGAUGAGCAUGGCUACAGUAGUUAAGAUCACAUGUCAGCUGCUAGUCAAGUCAUCAGUCAGCUUGUCGCA
rnacentral:rRNA from 1 species